UUCCGGUUGAUCCCGCCGGAGGCCACUGCUAUUGGGAUCCGAUUAAGCCAUGCGAGUCGAGAGGGUUCGGCCCUCGGCAGACUGCUCAGUAACACGUGGAUAACCUAACCUUAGGUGGAAGAUAACCUCGGGAAACUGAGAAUAAUAUUCCAUAGAUCUAGGAUGCUGGAAUGCAUCUAGAUUGAAAGUUCCGACGCCUAAGGAUGGGUCUGCGGACUAUCAGGUUGUAGUCAGGGUAAAGACCUGACUAGCCUGCGACGGAUAUGGGUUGUGAGAGCAAUAGCCCAGAGACGAUAUCUGAGACACGAUAUCGGGCCCUACGGGGCGCAGCAGGCGCGAAAUCUUCACAAUGUGCGAAAGCACGAUGAGGGGAUCCCAAGUGCUGGCACGUAAGUGUCAGCUGUUUCUUAGUCUAAAAAACUGAGAGAGUAAGGGCUGGGUAAGACGGGUGCCAGCCGCCGCGGUAAUACCUGCAGCUCAAGUGGUGGCCGCUAUUAUUGGGCCUAAAACGUCCGUAGCCUGUUUAGUAAAUGCUUGGGUAAAUUGUGUAGCUUAACUAUACGAAUGCCGGGUAGACUGCUAAACUUGGGACCGGGAGAGGCUAGAGGUACUCCUGGGGUAGAGGUGAAAUUCUGUAAUCCUAGGGGGACCACCAGUGGCGAAGGCGUCUAGCUAGAACGGGUCUGACGGUGAGGGACGAAGCCCUGGGGCGCGAACCGGAUUAGAUACCCGGGUAGUCCAGGGUGUAAACGCUGCUUGCUUGAUGUUAGUUGGGCUCCGAGCCCAACUAGUGUCGGAGAGAAGUUGUUAAGCAAGCUGCCUGGGAAGUACGGUCGCAAGACUGAAACUUAAAGGAAUUGGCGGGGGGAGCACAGCAACGGGUGGAGCGUGGCGGCUUAAUUGGAGUCAACGCCGGAA
rnacentral:rRNA from 1 species